UACGAAGGGGGCUAGCGUUGUUCGGAAUUACUGGGCGUAAAGAGCGCGCAGGCGGUCGUUCAAGUCGAGUGUGAAAGCCCCCGGCUCAACUGGGGAGGGUCACUCGAUACUGAUCGACUCGAAGGCAGGAGAGGGAAGUGGAAUUCCCGGUGUAGUGGUGAAAUGCGUAGAUAUCAGGAGGAACACCGGUGGCGAAGGCGGUUCUCUGGGCAUUACCUGACGCUGAGGAGCGAAAGUGUGGGGAGCGAACAGG
rnacentral:rRNA from 1 species